rnacentral:tRNA from 1 species
GCCGACUUAGCUCAGCUGGCAGAGCAGCUGAUUUGUAAUCAGCCGGUCGUUGGUUCGAAUCCGACAGUCGGCU